rnacentral:lncRNA from 1 species
CUGGAUCUAAAGGAAACAAAGCUAAUUGCCAGAAAUAGAAGAUGAAUCCAGCAAUAGAAACAACCCCAAACCAGCGAUAACAAUUAGAGCACAAGUCCACAGCUCUGAUUCAGAUAACCCAGCAGAUUCGACAACUUCAACAGCUAAAAGCAGGACAACCGCAAAGAAAGGGAACAAAAAGAUAGUCUGAGUCCAACCACCAAAAACUCGAUUCAGCAACAGGUAUCAACACACAACGAAUGCGUUGGAAAUCUCGUACUAAACCAAGCAAAUUCCAGCUUUAACACCCAAAAAUCCAACAAAAAGAACUGCCAAUUUCGUUGAAGCUAAAGGAAUAAUCUAAGAGAAAUUGCCCCUUUUAUAUACCAAAGAACUAAAACCAACAGCUAGAAGGUGACAGAUUCAAAAGCCAAAACCGAAGUUUUCCU